rnacentral:lncRNA from 10 species
CAGCUCUUCCUGUGGUUCUAGAAUCUCCUUCAGUAGUUCACACCUUUGGCUACACCAGGGAUUCUAAGAAUUACCUGACCAGUCAAGGAACAAACAAUUCUGUUCCAGGAGAAUUCUAGACAGUUCCAGAAUACUCCCAACCCAGCCCAGAACUACAUAAAGCUUUACUCCUGGCUGGGUGCGGUGGCUCACGUCUGUAACCCCAGCACUUUAGGAGGCAGAGGCGGGCGGAUCACCUGAGGUCAGGAGUUUGAGACCAGCCUGGCCAACAUGGUGAAACCCCGUCUCUACUAAAAAUACCAAAAUUAGCUGGGCAUGGUGGCAGGCGCCUGUAAUCCCAGCUACUCGGGAGGCUAAGGAAGGAGAAUCACUUGAACCCAGGAGGCAGAGGUUGCAGUGAGCCAAGAUUGCGCCAUUGCACUCCAGCCUGGGCAACAAGGUGAGACUGUGUCUCAAAAAAAUAAAAAAGUAAAUUAAAAAUAUUGAUUGUAUGUUGAAAUAAUAUUUUAAAUAUGUUAGCUUAAUUAAAAUGUUAUUAAAGUUAAUUUCUUAGCCAGGUAUGGUGGCGUAUGCCUAUAGUUCCAGUUACUCAGGAGGCUGAGGCGAGAGAAUCGCUUGAAGCUGGGAGGCGGAGGUUGCGGUGAGCUGAGAUCGUGCCACUGCACUGCAGCCUGGGCGACAGAGCGAGACUCCGUCUCAGUUUAAAAAAAAAAAAAGUUAUUUCACCUGUUUUUAAUUUUUUAACGUGGAUAACUACAAAAUUUUAAAUCACAUAUGGCUCACGUUGUAUUUCUAUUGUAGUUCCAUCUAGAACUUUCUGAUUACACUAUAAUUGGACAGCUCUGCCCAGGGUUAUAGAACACUAGAUAACUAUUCCCUCCAUGGUUCUAGAAUUCUCCAGUCUGAGUAGAACCAGAUGCCUCUGUUCACCAAUUCUGAGCAUUCUCAUCAGCCCAGAUUCCUUUACCCUAGAAACAGACAAAAUGCCAAGCCCUGGAACUCCCUAGGUGUCACAGCUCUGCUCGAUUCUAGAACCUUCUUAGAGCUAUAGGUUCAAACCAGUUUUUCUCUCUGCAACCACAGAACUGUUUUUUUUUUUCUUUUUUUUGAGACAUGGUCUCACUGUCACCCAGGCUGGAGUGCAGUGGCACAAUCUUAGCUCACUGCAGCCUCAAGUGAUCCUCCCACCUCAGCCUCCCAAGUAGCUGGGAUUAUAGACCCAUGCCACGUGCCUGGCUAAUUUUGGGGGGGGAUUUUAUUUUUGUGGAGACAGGGUUUUGCUGUGUGGCCCAGGCUGGUCUCGAACUCCUGGGCUCAAGCGAUCCUCCCACAUCAGCCUUUCAAAGUGUUGGGAUUACAGAUGUGAGCCACCCUUCCCGGCCAGAACUUACUAUCUGACCUAUAUCCUUAGCGAAGUGUAGAACAGAGGCUGGCCGCGGUGGCUCACACCUGUAAUCCCAGCAUUUUGGGAGGCCGAGGCGGGUGGAUCACAAGGUCAGGAGUUUGAGACCAGCCUGACCAAGACGGUGAAACGCCGUCUCUACUAAAAAUAUAAAAAUUAGCUGGGCACGGUGGCGGACGCUUGUAAUCUCAGCUACUCAGGAGGCUGAAGCAGGAGAAUCACUUGAAUCCGGGCGGCAGAGGUUGAAGUGAGCUGAGAUUGCACCACUGAAAAAAAAAGUCUAGAACAUUCCAGAGGGCCAGAAAUUGUUCUUCCCAUGCUUUUAGGGCAGGGCUUGGCAAACAUUUUCUGUAAAGGGCCAAAGAGUAAAUAUUUUCAGCCUUGUAGGUCACAAGGUAUCUGCUGCAGCUACUCACCUCUGCCAUUCGAACAUCAGAGCAGCCAUGGACAACACAUGAAUAACCAAGCAUGAUGUGUACCAAUAAAACUUUAUUUAUGUACACUGAAAUUUGUUUUUCUUUUUUUAGAGACAGAGUCUCACUCUAUUGCCCAGGCUGGAGUGCAAUGGCGUGAUCUCAGCUCACCGCAACCUCCGCCUCCCGGGUUCAUGUGAUUCUCCUGCCUCAGCCUCCUGAGUAGCUGGGAUUACAGGCGUGCACUACCAUGCCCGGCUAAUUUUUGUAUGUUUAGUAGAGACGGGGUUUCACCAAUGUUGGCCAGGCUGGUCUCGAACUCCUGACCUAGUGAUCUGCCCACCUUGGCCUCCCAAAGUGCUGGGAUUAUAGGCGUGAGCCACCGCGCCCAGCUUAUGCACACUGAAAUUUGAAUUGCAUUUUUUUAUUUUUGAGACAGAGUCUCGCUCUGUUGCCUAGGCUGUAGUGCAGUGGCGUGGGGUGAUCUCAGCUCACCGCAGUCUCGACCUCCUGGGCUCAAGAACUUCUCCCGCCUCAACCUCCUGAGUAGCUGGGACUACAGGCAUGCACCGCCACACCUGGCUAACUUUAAACAUUUUUUGUAGAGAUGGGGUCUUGCUACGUUGCCCAGGCUGGUCUCCAACUCCCGGCUCAAGCGAUCCUCCUGCCUCAGCCUCCCAAAGAGCUGGGAUUACACGUGUGAGCCACCAUAUCCAGCCUAGCAUAUCAUUUUCACAUGUCAAGAAAUAGUAUUCUUUGGCCAGGCGUGGUGGCUCACGCUUGUAAUCCUAGCACUUUAGGAGGCCAAGGCGGGCGGAUCACAAGGUCAGGAGUUCAACACCAGCCUGGCCAACACAGUGAAACCCCAUCUCUACUAAAAAUACAAAAAUUAGCUGGGCGUGGUGGCGAGCACCUGUAAUCCCAGCUACUUGGGAGGCUGAGGCAGGAGAAUCACUUGAACCCGGGAGGCGGAAGUUGCAGUGAGCCGGGAUCACGCCACUGCACUCCAAGCCUGGGUGACAGACUCUGUCUCAAAAAGAAAGAAAGAAAUAGUAUUCUUCUUUCAAUGAAAAAAAAAGUCAAUUAAAAAUGCAAAGGACACCCGGGCAUGGUGGCUCACGCCUGUAAUCUCAGUACUCUGGGAGGCUGAGGCAGGCAGAUCGCUUGAGCUCAGGAGUUUGAAACCAGCUUGGGCAACAUGGUGAAACCCCAUCUCUACCCAAAUAAAUACGAAAUAAAAUUAGCUGGGCGUGGUGGCACGCACCUGUAGUCUCAGCUAUUUGGGAAACUGAGGUGGGAGGAUCGCUUGAACCUGGGAGAUGGAGGUUGCAGUGAGCUGAGAUCAAGCCACUGCACUCCAGCCUGGAUAACAGAAGUCAUCAAAAAAAGUAAAGAAGCCCCAAACGCAAAAACCAUCUUUAACUCGAGACCUACGUGAGCAGGCAGUGAGUUGGGUCUGGCCCGACGACGAUGAUUUGCCAAGCCCGGUUCUAGAACCCAGUGCUGCCAAUGGCCGGAGCUGCCCCACAGUCCCCUUCUCACUCUACCCCGUUCUCAAGGCUGGCUCUCCUCUCCCUGGCCAGCCGGAAUCUGCUCGAAACCACCCUCAGAGGCUCCCGAGAACCUCGUCCUUACUGGCAAGCUGUUGCCAGGCUGGUGAGCCUGAUUCUGGCUGUCUAGGGGCCUUCAGUGCCUGAGGCUAGGGUGGGCGGGACACUCACCCUCCUGGGGGGCAGGGUAGGAAGCCAGGGUCUCGGGGCUCUGGAAGAAGAUAGAGGAGGGGCAGGACUGAGUCUCCCUGCUUGGUUCCAGGCAGUC